GAUGAAGAACGUAGCGAAAUGCGAUACUUGGUGUGAAUUGCAGAAUCCCGUGAACCAUCGAGUCUUUGAACGCAAGUUGCGCCCGAAGCCACUAGGCCGAGGGCACGCCUGCCUGGGCGUCACACGCCGUUGCCCCCCCAUCUACUCCUUCGGGAUUGCGGGGGGGCGGAUGAUGGCCUCCUGUGCGCCUAGCCGCGCGGUUGGCAUAAAUACCAAGUCCUCGGCGACGCACGCCACGACAAUCGGUGGUUGCGAAACCUCGGUUGCUCGUCGUGUGCGUUCGUCGCGCAUCGAGGGCUCGAAAAAAUGCUCGGCUCCGGCUGGGCUUUCAACGCGACCCCAGGUCAGGCGGGGUUACCCGCUGAAUUUAAGCAUAUCAAUAAGCGGAGGA
rnacentral:misc_RNA from 1 species